rnacentral:misc_RNA from 1 species
AAUAUAUUUUCCGUCGGUUAAGCGAAGCGAAUUAGGCGGGAAAUAUUUUCCUUGAAUAGGUAUAGAUCUAUUGUUGUAUCAGGCCAAUCAAAAUCUUGUUUUGAUGGUUGUUUUGUUGGUAGCCUUAGUAACGCUGGUAAGGCAAGUUAUCGUGCCGAUUGUUGUGAUUUGUAUGGUCAUUCAGCUUUGGGCACCUAUGCUUACAAACAGAUUAUUUUUCGCUAGUCAUGGAUGAAAUUUCACCACGUAAUUCGCCAAGUCGUCCUAGUGCAAAUAGAACGGACAUUAAUCAGACAUUAAAUUUAGUUUUGGAACAAUUGAAAAGUCAGAAAGAAGAGCUUUCGUCUUUGAGAGACGACGUUAAAGGGACUUCAUUAUCUGUGUCAUCAGAAGUGAAAAAGAUUAAAGACAAAGAGUUGUCGUGGAGAAAGGAGGGCAACAAGAUUCAAUAUAACUUUAACACGGACAUUGAAGAUUCAGUCGUGCAAGCCAAGUGGGCUAUCACAAACAACAAAUCUGACUACGCUCUGGAGGUGUUAGAGGAAACUGCUGGUAAAUUGCACAAACGUAAAAAACUUAUCCGAAUUGCCGAUACGUCAGAAGGGGGCUGGGAAACGGUUCGACAAUACCAGGCGAAUCCUGUAGCCAGCGACAGUGACGAUGAAUCUAAGAUUUCCAAGGCGGAAAACCGUGCUCUCCGCAAACGCAAGCGAUUUCAAUCGAAAAAAUCGCCGAACGACGCAACUGGGAAACGCACAUUAUUUCCCAGGCCUACUUCUACUGUUGGGAGUAUUGGGAGCGUUCCAUUUCCUCAAUGGGGUAUGCAGCCAUCAACGUCAGGUACCUUUCCGGGAGUCAACGGUUCUCUCGGGACGUCUAAUUUUCGUCCCUACACAAGGAAGACGUUUGGAAGUUGCUUCGCCUGCGGAGACUUCACGCACUACAGAAAAGAUUGUCCCUACAUGUCAGGUUCCUUCAACAAGCAGAGUCAAUCAGCCAUCGAUGUCACCCAGAACAGAAAAUGAGUCAUCAGUUUUGACAGAUGAGUAUUCUAUUUUUAGAUGUAAUUGUUAUGAUUUACACGGUGACAGUUUUACGCAUGAAUAUUUUGAGUAUGAACAGGGUCAAAAAGCAAUAAUUGUUAAAGAUAGGUUAAAACAGUGUUAUGAUUUUUGGCAUAGGAUUGGUGCUGAUGAUUUUAUACUGGAUACAAUCAAAAUGUUUCUCGGACGAAAUAGAAGAUUUACCAGAUGUUUUGGUCGAUAAGGUGACCUGGAUCCCAGAACUACUGAAGGAUGCUCGUGCCGACAGUACCACCAAAUGUUACAAUCGAGGUUUUAUUCGGUGGAGGAAAUGGGCCUUGAGUAAUUCUUUGGGAGAAAAGGACAUCUUUCCGGCCAAGCCGUUUAUUUUUGGUAUAUAUUUGUGUUCUAUCGUUCAGUCUUCAAAUUCAUUCAGUGCUGUAUCAAAAUCAUAUUAUAGUGUUAAAUGGAUGCAUGAUUUAUAUGGCUUGACAUCGCCAACUGAUUCAUCGUUAGUAAAAAACAUAUUAGAAGCUGCUAAACGAAAGCUUUCUAAGAAAAUUGUGAAGAAAGAACCAGUGACUCCUGUUAUGUUGCUUAGAAUGUUCAAUAGUCUUUAUCAGGAAAACAAUAUCAAGAAUCAGAGAAUUAUUUGCGCAUGUUUGUUAGCAUACGCAGGGUUUUUGAGAAGUGAAGAAUCACUUAAGAUUAGACGUUCCGAUAUAGUAUUCCAUUCCACAUAUAUCAAUAUAUUUAUUGAAUCAAGCAAAACUGACGUUUAUAGAGAUGGAAAUUGGGUAACAAUUUCUUGCACAGGUACUAUGUUGUGUCCUGUUGUAAAUUUACAGCGAUAUUUAACAUGGGCGAAUAUUGACUGUGAUUCUGACAUUUACAUAUUUUGUGGAAUGUCAAAAUGCAAAAAUGGAUAUAAGUUAAGGGAUAUGAAUAAACCCAUUUCGUAUACAACUUUGAGAGAACUGUUUAUUGAAGCGUUUAAAUAUCAUGUUCCGGAUAUUUCUAAAUUCGGACUUCACAGCCUGCGCUCCGGGGGUGCAACUGCAGCCGCGAAUAACGGCAUUAAGGACAGACUUUUUAAGAGACAUGGAAGGUGGCGUAGUGAAAACGCCAAAGAUGGUUAUAUUAAAGUCUGUUUAUCUGAAAGACUUUCUGUUUCUCAGAAUUUGGGUUUAUAAACUUUGAAUUAGUUUUCAAGCACAUGGUAUUAUUUUGUAACUUAUAGUUUCCCGUUCUUUGAUUCAUCGUGCCCAAGUGCUCAUUACAUAUUAUACAAUAUAUGAAGCAUAUUGUGUUUUUGUUCUUUGGUACAAAGAUCUGUGUAGGUUUAAGGAAAUAUAUUUUCCGUCGGUUAAGCGAAGCGAAUUAGGCGGGAAAUAUUUUCCUUGAAUAGGUAUAGAUCUAUUGUUGUAUCAGGCCAAUCAAAAUCUUGUUUUGAUGGUUGUUUUGUUGGUAGCCUUAGUAACGCUGGUAAGGCAAGUUAUCGUGCCGAUUGUUGUGAUUUGUAUGGUCAUUCAGCUUUGGGCACCUAUGCUUACAAACAGAUUAUUUUUUAAAUCUAAAUCACGGGAAAUUAUUUGUUACUUUAUUUAAAAAUGUUUAUAUAUAUAUAUAUAUACAUGAGAAGUGAAUGUUAUGCAUGUUCAAUCAUUGAAUUGAUAUUUAUGAAUUGAAUGGUAUUUGAAGUUGUUAUAUGAUUCAUGUCAGUAUUUUCUUAUAUGUAAAUGUAAUGGAUAUGAUAAUAUUGGAAGAAGAAACAAUGUAAGCUCAUCGUGCCCAAGUGCUCAUUACAUAUUAUACAAUAUAUGAAGCAUA